GACGAACGCUGGCGGCGUGCUUAACACAUGCAAGUCGAACGGAAAGGCCCUGCUUUUGUGGGGUGCUCGAGUGGCGAACGGGUGAGUAACACGUGAGUAACCUGCCCUUGACUUUGGGAUAACUUCAGGAAACUGGGGCUAAUACCGGAUAGGAGCUCCUGCUGCAUGGUGGGGGUUGGAAAGUUUCGGCGGUUGGGGAUGGACUCGCGGCUUAUCAGCUUGUUGGUGGGGUAGUGGCUUACCAAGGCUUUGACGGGUAGCCGGCCUGAGAGGGUGACCGGCCACAUUGGGACUGAGAGACGGCGCAGACGGCUACGGGAGGCAGCAGGGGGGAAUAUUGCACAAUGGGCGGAAGCCUGAUGCAGCAGCGCCGCGUGCGGGAUGACGGCCUUCGGGUGGUAAACCGCUUUCGCCUGUGACGAAGCGUGAGUGACGGUAAUGGGUAAAGAAGCACCGGCUAACUACGUG
rnacentral:rRNA from 1 species